AGUCGAACGAGAGAUGAGGAGCUUGCUCUUCAAAUCGAGUGGCGAACGGGUGAGUAACGCGUGAGGAACCUGCCUCAAAGAGGGGGACAACAGUUGGAAACGACUGCUAAUACCGCAUAAGCCCACGGCUCGGCAUCGAGCAGGGGGAAAAGGAGCAAUCCGCUUUGAGAUGGCCUCGCGUCCGAUUAGCUAGUUGGUGAGGUAAUGGCCCACCAAGGCGACGAUCGGUAGCCGGACUGAGAGGUUGAACGGCCACAUUGGGACUGAGACACGGCCCAGACUCCUACGGGAGGCAGCAGUGGGGAAUAUUGCACAAUGGGGGAAACCCUGAUGCAGCGACGCCGCGUGGAGGAAGAAGGUCUUCGGAUUGUAAACUCCUGUUGUUGAGGAAGAUAAUGACGGUACUCAACAAGGAAGUGACGGCUAACUACGUGCCAGCAGCCGCGGUAAAACGUAGGUCACAAGCGUUGUCCGGAAUUACUGGGUGUAAGGGGAGCGCAGGCGGGAGAACAAGUUGGAAGUGAAAUCCAUGGGCUCAACCCAUGAACUGCUUUCAAAACUGUUUUUCUUGAGUAGUGCAGAGGUAGGCGGAAUUCCUGGUGUAGCGGUGGAAUGCGUAGAUAUCGGGAGGAACACCAGUGGCGAAGGCGGCCUACUGGGCACCAACUGACGCUGAGGCUCGAAAGUGUGGGUAGCAAACAGGAUUAGAUACCCCUGGUAGUCCACACCGUAAACGAUGAUUACUAGGUGUUGGAGGAUUGACCCCUUCAGUGCCGCAGUUAACACAAUAAGUAAUCCACCUGGGGAGUACGACCGCAAGGUUGAAACUCAAAGGAAUUGACGGGGGCCCGCACAAGCAGUGGAGUAUGUGG
rnacentral:rRNA from 1 species